rnacentral:rRNA from 2 species
GGGGACGGAGAAGGCUAUGUUGGCCGGGCGACGGUUGUCCCGGUUUAAGCGUGUAGGCUGGUUUUCCAGGCAAAUCCGGAAAAUCAAGGCUGAGGCGUGAUGACGAGGCACUACGGUGCUGAAGCGACAAAUGCCCUGCUUCCAGGAAAAGCCUCUAAGCAUCAGGUAACAUCAAAUCGUACCCCAAACCGACACAGGUGGUCAGGUAGAGAAUACCAAGGCGCUUGAGAGAACUCGGGUGAAGGAACUAGGCAAAAUGGUGCCGUAACUUCGGGAGAAGGCACGCUGAUAUGUAGGUGAAGCGACUUGCUCGUGGAGCUGAAAUCAGUCGAAGAUACCAGCUGGCUGCAACUGUUUAUUAAAAACACAGCACUGUGCAAACACGAAAGUGGACGUAUACGGUGUGACGCCUGCCCGGUGCCGGAAGGUUAAUUGAUGGGGUUAGCGGUAACGCGAAGCUCUUGAUCGAAGCCCCGGUAAACGGCGGCCGUAACUAUAACGGUCCUAAGGUAGCGAAAUUCCUUGUCGGGUAAGUUCCGACCUGCACGAAUGGCGUAAUGAUGGCCAGGCUGUCUCCACCCGAGACUCAGUGAAAUUGAACUCGCUGUGAAGAUGCAGUGUACCCGCGGCAAGACGGAAAGACCCCGUGAACCUUUACUAUAGCUUGACACUGAACAUUGAGCCUUGAUGUGUAGGAUAGGUGGGAGGCUUUGAAGUGUGGACGCCAGUCUGCAUGGAGCCGACCUUGAAAUACCACCCUUUAAUGUUUGAUGUUCUAACGUGGGCCCCUUACCGGGGUUGCGGACAGUGUCUGGUGGGUAGUUUGACUGGGGCGGUCUCCUCCUAAAGAGUAACGGAGGAGCACGAAGGUUGGCUAAUCCUGGUCGGACAUCAGGAGGUUAGUGCAAUGGCAUAAGCCAGCUUGACUGCGAGCGUGACGGCGCGAGCAGGUGCGAAAGCAGGUCAUAGUGAUCCGGUGGUUCUGAAUGGAAGGGCCAUCGCUCAACGGAUAAAAGGUACUCCGGGGAUAACAGGCUGAUACCGCCCAAGAGUUCAUAUCGACGGCGGUGUUUGGCACCUCGAUGUCGGCUCAUCACAUCCUGGGGCUGAAGUAGGUCCCAAGGGUAUGGCUGUUCGCCAUUUAAAGUGGUACGCGAGCUGGGUUUAGAACGUCGUGAGACAGUUCGGUCCCUAUCUGCCGUGGGCGCUGGAGAACUGAGGGGGGCUGCUCCUAGUACGAGAGGACCGGAGUGGACGCAUCACUGGUGUUCGGGUUGUCAUGCCAAUGGCACUGCCCGGUAGCUAAAUGCGGAAGAGAUAAGUGCUGAAAGCAUCUAAGCACGAAACUUGCCCCGAGAUGAGUUCUCCCUGACUCCUUGAGAGUCCUGAAGGAACGUUGAAGACGACGACGUUGAUAGGCCGGGUGUGUAAGCGCAGCGAUGCGUUGAGCUAACCGGUACUAAUGAACCGUGAGGCUUAACCUUACAACGCCGAAG